GCAACUCCUUAAGACAUUACCUCUCCCUUUACCCCCUCCAGCUGUUUAUUAUUUCCCUCCCGCUGCUGCCUACCACCUCCACGGUGAGUCAGAAGAAUGGGACAUGAAUGGUCCCACCUCAGCCGCUUCAGUACAAAGUCUGGCAGCGGCUUCCUUCCAGCUGCUGGGGAAAGGGGGUUUAGGCAAAGCUGCCAGUCUUUGCCCAGGAGCCAUGGAGGAGAGCGCGAGAGCUGUUCCACUGACGCCGUGCCGGCAGCGGGAGCCUCUGGCACAAGGGAGCAGAUGAACAAGCUGCUGGGGGUGGCAGUGGUGGUGAUAACAUCUGGACCCACCCGAGGAGAGCACAUCUCCUGAUGCUGGCAAGAUGAGAAGAGACCAGCCCAUGUGUAUGGAUGAGGAUAGCAAGAUGGGGAAGGUGACAGCGGCCAUUGGCACAUAGGACAAGGGGAGUGCUACAACAGCUCGUUGGAGACAGGACAAGAGGAAGGUCUAGCCGGUGUCUGAGCCCCACUUCGCCCCAAACCUCCCACCACUGCCAUCUAGUCUGUGCUGAAAAACUUUGGGAAAUAUCAGGUUUGCCAUGCAGAUGGGGUGAUGGGGCUGGGGCACUGCGGUGGCAGGGAUAGCCCUGGGUGGAGCGGACAGCCCUGGGUGACAGCCCUGGGAAGGACGGGAGUGCAAAACCCUAUGGUGGAUGGAGGGAGAAGACAUCGCUGUGCUCUUAACAGAGAAUUCAGGUGGUGAAACACAAA